UCCCCCAACAACUGGGGCUAGAUCGUCGCUUUGCUUUUUUUCUCCACUCUUUAAAAAAAAAAUAUUAUUAUAGCAUAUAAAUAAUUGUGUGUGUGCUUGUGUGUUUGUGUUUGUUGUGUGUUUGUGAGAAAUACAUUUAAACUUAAUUUACAGACAAUAAAAAUCGGUUCGCCUGCGGUCCAUGGUCUGUAGCCUGAUGAUGACGUCACUUCAGGUUGGAACCGUGGCGAAUUUAAACCGGCUGAGUGAAAGAGAGAAGUCGCUUCUCAAAGAAAAAAAAUGUGGAGAAACGGCGAAAAGAGAAACGGCGAAAAGAGAGGCAGACAGACAGACAGACAGACUGGAAGAGAGAGCGAGAAGAGGACCUCGGUGAACAUAUGCUAACUGCCUUGCCUCGCUAGCAUUAGCAUUCGGAGCGGGCGAUGCUAACAACAUAAACGAGGAGGACGCACACCUGCUCGGCUGCCCCGCCCCCUCCUGCAGAGACACGGGGCCAUGUGACGAAAAUGAAAUGACCGCAUCAAUCAAAACCCAGUUGUGGGACGAGAGGAGAUUCGCAACGAGAUGAAGAGACUGAGAGUAAAAAGAGAGAGAGAGAGUGAUGAUUAAGGCUGUCAUUCCAGCCUGCCUAUUGGAUACGUUUAUAGUUGGGAUGUGACUAAAGACAAGUCGGAUGUGCCAGACGCAGCAGGACACAGAAGCAAACCCAAACCUCCGCUGUCUUCUGGAUGUUUCUAGUACUUUGUUGGGCUAGUGUUGCUCCAGCUCAAAGCCGGCUGAGGCUGAAAGGAUUGUAUGAUAUGUGAGCCAACGUCUACUAUCCAAUAUGCUGUUUUUGUCGUUUAUGUAUAGCACUUUGAUUAUCUCAAGUUCUUUAUUCAUUUAGCUCUAAUUUUCAUGCAUUUACUUAUAGGAAGUAUGAGUGUUUUUGAUUGUUAAUAUUUAUUUAUUUUUUGCGCACACUAUUCUGACACAGUUUUAUUAACUUGGACUCUAAGAGCCUGAAUGUGUUGAAUUUUAUUCAGUUCAACAUAAAAGAAAAAAGGAUGUGAUCCUUUUAUGGAGUUGGAAAAACUCUGCAAUAACAACAUUAAGAAGUAGCGAGGUACGGACUUAACCAGCUUUUAUUUUGAUUUCCAAAAAGGAGUGGUUCUUGAAGAGCAACACUUGAAUUUAUGUUCAGUCCUGAUAGCUGGGCAUUCCUAUGAGAGAGAUUUAUCAUGUCUACCUAAGCAGACCUCAGGGUUUCAAAGAAUCCACAUACGGCAUUCAGGUUGGCUCCAAAAGAGGAGAAUGUGAAAGAGAACAAAAAAAAAACCUGUCUGUUGACUCUGUAACACUGCCAUGAUGUAUGUAACACUGCCAUGAUGUAGCACGGUGAAAUCACUUAAAAAGCCAGAGACUUUUGA